AGGUCGGUAGUUCAAUGGUAGAAUAGCGGAUUCCAAAUCCGAAGACGAGAGUUCGACUCUUUCUCGGCCUG
rnacentral:tRNA from 1 species